ACACACACACGGGCACACACGCAGACGCACGCGGUGGGUUUUUUUUUUAAAAGAAAGAAUACAGCGGCGAAGUAAAAUAGGUCGGAAUGUUGACAACCCCCGGGCCCGUCAGACGGUCAAAAGUUGCUUAGAGCAAAGAGCGCAAGGACCGAGGCGGAUGAGGGCCAAUGAGCUUCGGCCGAGCGGCAGAGGAGCGAGCCCAUUGGCUGCCGGGCCGGCGCCUUUGAUGUUCGCCGCCGAGCUCUGUUGACACGCAGCGAGCGCGUGUUAAAUGCAUCACAUGCGCGAAUACUCGCGGGCAAGGCACGCCUUUGCUUUGCCUCUUCCCGCCCUCAAAGUCUUGAGUUCAUGUGUUCAUGUGGCUCUUGCCGAUUGCACCGAGACUACGUUUACUACUGUGUGGUUGCGGCAACAACAACAACAACUCACACGCAUCACCUGCUGCUCACUUAAACGUUUUGGGGGGUUACUAAAAAGGGAGUGAAACUGGCUUGACGGUGUGAGUGAGCAAAUGGGUUUUACAAUAACAAAAAAAGUACGGUGACUUUAUUUGAGUUAAAGUUACCCUGUCUGUGUUUAUGCCCAAUAAGUAACUUAACGCUCUAGCGCCAUUGCCUUGAAGUACGGAACAUUACCUAAAAGGUGGCCAAUUAUAUAAUGUACAGUACCUCUUUCGGGGCAAUGCUAUUGACGAAUUUGUUGAUUUCGCCUUGUGUCCGCACCACUGCCAACGGAGUACCACCGCACAAUUUUCGAUUUUCCAAAAAUGGGUUUCUCUUCUUUUAAGGGUCAUUAUUGGCAUCGUGUACCAUGAUUAAUGUGUUAUAACUGUAAUUGGAUGGAGUCCGUUUCGUGUAAUUUAUUUAGACUAAAACGCAUUAACUGUGCACCUGAGUGCAUCAACAAAAUAUAAAUGACUUAUUCGUCUUGCUGUUCCCAAGCCGUUACGUUUUUCAUCUGUUCGCAGAGUAUAGCUGCUUACGAAGGACCGAAAUAACUUUUAUCCCCAUAGUACUUUUUAGAACACCGUACAAAUGUGAAUUUAAACCUGGGUACUUCAUAUACUUUGCGUGUUUUCAUGAAAAUAUGCUCCUUUUCAGUGUUAUGAGUAAUACAUACGUUGACAUUCCGUUCCAUUUCAUCCCAUGAAAAUAGAUGUUAUUAGUUGAUAGCAUUAUCAGCUUUAUAUGCUUUGUAAGCCAGCAGUGUUCUAGCACGCAAAGCAAGCACGGUUUCAACCUGCUGGGUUUCAUCAGCAGAGUCAAGCGUGUUAACGCAUUCCGCUGGUUGACCAAAUGUUUUCGGUAAGAACACCCCCUAUAUAUACCACGGGUAUCCUUUUAAGUGUUUUAUUCAUUUUGCUAAUGGUUCUUUCGAUUAAUAUGAUUCCAUGUUUCACAUACUCUGAGGCAUGUUGAUGUGUCUAAAAGUUUUGAACAUUUACCUUACCUUGUGGAAUAUACUUGCUUAGUCAAACUCUCAAUCAGUAUAUCAACGUUUAGUUAGGAUCGUUUUCAGUCCUUUCACCCUUGCAUUUCGUUCCUUCGUAAAUACAACCCAAAGUGAGCGCGUGUUUUGGGGCAUUAAAAUUACAAUUUAAAUUACUUUGGAUUCCUUCAGCAUUAAAACCCAGAUUUAUUUUGCUAUGUUUCCAUUUCCCCUGCGGUGUUUUUGUUGCAGAACACGGCAAUUCCCGCACUCGUGUAAGAGGGGCAUGUUGGCACACACAUGCGUUCGAUUUAUACCCACUGGCAGCCCACAGACAAAUACGUUAGUGUGUAUAAACUACAGUAUAUCGUGUGCAGUACAGGUACUUCCAUAUAGUCACUUGCGGUGUAUACCGUUUAUAAUACGUAGCGCAUAUAAAAUCAUGUUUAUGAAUUAUAUAGAAUUUGGCUGCUGGUAGCAAGAAAUAAAGAUGCCAAUUUUCCCCAGGAAAGCCAUGCCCCAACUGCUAUUGUAGACACAUCCACUGAGAGAGAAUAGGUUGCAUGUAAGACGAAUUUAAAUCCAAAUUAUACCGUAUUGUAAAUGGCAUUUGUUAAGACAGAAAAUAUGCAUAAUGGAAAACAGAUUCAUUAUUCCACGAAAUUAAGUUAACUCUUUUUUUUACAUACAAGACGUGUAAUUUUUUUCUGGUACUGCAGUGGGAGUAGUGCAUGAGAAAAAAUAACAAAAACCUCAACAUAUCGUUAAUACAGUCACAUUGCCAUGAAUAACUAAUAAAAAAACGCAUAGGUGACAUAGGUGACAUUUAGGGGAUGGUGAUACUAUAUUUAAUUUGUAUAAACUAGGGCCAUUAAUCGAAACAUCGCCUAUUACAAAUUUAGGUUUUCCUUUCAAGACAGUCAUCUUACUUUCCUGCGCUAGUACAUAACUAAAACACACAUUGUUUGACACGCAUAUUAAAAAAAUGAACCAUCCAUGGUGGGUAAAAAUGUUUGUGUGACAUAUCAGAAGUUACGUUCUUGAUGUCCCGCAUAUGAAACAACUGUGACAGCAGCGAGUACGUUUCCUUACAAUGAUGCACCAGAAUAGUUUAACAGUCCUUACAUUGUACUGGAGAGAUGCCAUUAAAAGCCAAAGCUAACGUGACCGAGUCAAAA